AGCAGCCGCGGUAAUUCCAGCUCCAAUAGCGUAUAUUAAAGUUGUUGCAGUUAAAAGCUCGUAGUUGAAUUUCGGGGUCAGCAAGUUGGUCGUGCCACCGGUAUGUACUGGCUUUGCUGAUUCCUCCUUCUUGUAGAACCGUAAUGCCAUUUAGUUGGUGUUGCGGGGAAACAGGACUGUUACUUUGAAAAAUUGAGUGUUUAAAGCAGGCUAACGCCUGAAUACAUUAGCAUGGAAUAAUGAAAUAGGACGAGCGAUCCUAUUUUGUUGGUUUCUAGGAUUGACGUAAUGAUUAAUAGGGAUAGUUGGGGGCAUUAGUAUUCAAUUGUCAGAGGUGAAAUUCUUGGAUUUAUUGAAGACUGACUACUGCGAAAGCAUUUGCCAAGGAUGUUUUCAUUAAUCAAGAACGAAAGUUAGGGAUCGAAGACGAUCAGAUACCGUCGUAGUCUUAACCAUAAACUAUGCCGACUAGGGAUCGGAUGAUGUUUAAUUUUUAAUGUACUCAUUCGGCGUACCCG
rnacentral:misc_RNA from 1 species